UUAAUGUGAUUACAACAUAACUAAUUUGGAAACAUCGGAAAGCAUCGAUAUAUCGCUGUUUUUCUGGCGCUGUAUUUUAGCAUCGAUGUUCAUGUUUCCGAUGCAUCGAAACAUCGAUGUAUCAAUGUUACUCCCCAAAACUUGCAUCCCUAUUCACAACAAUACAUCUGUCGGGCGUAUGAAAACGAUAAUACGAGAACUGAUUUCAUACGAUACGCUUGCAAGCGUUUAUCGUCUAUCGUAAGAAAAUUAAUAAUGGGGGGGAAGGAAAAAUUACUU